GGGAUACUUGGCCGCCGUAUGCGAACACAAUGCCCGAGAACCGGCGAUACGGUCUGGUGAUAACAAACCAGAGUUCGGACGCGGACGGUGUGGACACCGUUGCCCUAAUUGUGAACGCCAACCGACGCCGAUGCGUAGAAUGCCGCGCUGUUCUUCUUACUUAUAACGGGGAUUUCAUCUGGCGCUGCUGUUUGCCACUUCAUACCUCAACCUUAGCUAACAUGGUGCAUACAUGGUACAUACAUACUUUUUAAUACUGUGGGCCUUACGAGUAUCUAUCCGCAGACGUUCGACUCCAGCAUGCUAGUGGUCUGCGAGGAUGAGGAAACCGCCCAAUGGGUCAUGUCAGCCGUCCAUGGUAUGUGCCCGCCGCACUCCUGCCAGCCCUUAAUCGAGUUCUUCGGCUUCCUGAGGACGUGAGGAGUCGCAGAACCCGGGCCUAAACACCGACAAGUGGGCCGUGGUCAAUCGCUCCACCCUAGACUGCAAUGAUGUGGAGCGGCAGGUCCCUCAGUUCUGCGACAACAUCGUGAUAGAGCUGUAUGUCAAUG
rnacentral:misc_RNA from 1 species